rnacentral:lncRNA from 1 species
GUACUAGUGCCAUCCUAUUAUACUAUUUAUAUGGUAUGAGAUUGAAUACUAUUUUGGUCUUAGUAUGAUGCACUACAGUAUCAACCAGUAUAGCAAACCUUGCAUCAAAAUAGGUCCAUGAAAAUCUCUUUAGAACUUUUCUAGUAAUCCACAAAUGUCUAUGACCACACAAUAGGAUAUAUGUAAUAAUCUUGACCUAGAAUUCUG